GCGAGAACGAUCGUCGUGCUCGGUUACAUAUAACUCUCUCGGUGCUUGCUGCCAGUGUAGUUUAGGCUUUUAGUUAGUGACGGUGUCUCUCACGCGGAGGACCCUCUCCCAGGAAAAGCAAAAUUUUCUAACGAAACAUCUCGAACCUAUCGAUCAUGCAAAAUCGUCCUUACAAGAACGCGACGAUGACGAGGCUCUCUGCGGGAGACACCGUCAAAUCGACCAAUUCGACUAACUCAACGAUAAACGGGGAAUGUUCCGUGAUAAUAAUUGGAAAUGAUCCACAUCUUCAGUGUACUAGAAAACGAAGACGAUUGGAUCUUUCGACGACGGCUACGGACAUUCCCCAAAAGACGCAACGACGCAACGACGAACAGGACGAUGGCUGCGACGUUGAUAUUACUCCCGUCGAUUCUUAUCGAAAUUCAGAAUCAAUAAAGCGUGAGAAAAAGAACGACGACGAUACGACGAGGAAGUUUAGGCAGGAUGUUUCUUACAACGUUAAUUGUCUUACGUCUGAUCAAAGAAAAAGUAAAAGAUUGCCGGACGAGAGAGAAUGCCAAGAAGAAAGACAGAUUGAAAAUGACACUUGUGUAGCAAACGUAAAGAGAAAGAAACAGGAACAGGAUGCUUCCGUACGUAGGCUUGUCCUUUCGAAUAAUAACGUCAAAGACGAAUCGACGAGGCUUAGAAAAACGAUACAGUGGCUCGAGGAAGGAGCACGUAGAUUACGAGAGGAUCUUGCUAAUACCAGAACCGAGUUGCACGAGGAAAGAAGGGCCGCCAAAUUAGUCAAAAGAGAAAUCGAAACGGCCAUUAGGGAAGCGAAGGCUACGGAAGCUACCAAGUAUCAACUUAUAAUCUCGGAAUUGAAGAGCAGACUCUCUCGUGGGGCCUCGGCAGAAUCAAAUUGCACGUCGCCGUCGCCGUCGUCGUUGUCGUCGUCGUCGUCAUUGAAGGUGGACCUCAUAAAGGAAGAGAAUCAUAAACGAGAGAUAUCGGCAAUGAAGAAGCGGCUCGUAGAAUCGGAGAAUACGAUACGAAAGCUCAAGUUGGAAAGUUUGAAUCUUCAGGGAAAGAGCGCCCCCUGUAGACUCGAUGGUUCCACUUGUGCCGAGGUCCGACGCCUUCAAACUGAAAUUCACGCUUUACGCGCGAAUAACGAGAAACUCGAAGCGAAAUUACGUAUCGCCACAGAUGCCGAAAAAGUUCGAGCGGCCGAAUUACGGAUUCAACAUGAGAAUCAUGAGGCCGAGCUCACUGCAUUACGAAAAUCUUUGAGAAGCGAAACGAUUAAAAUGAUGGACGAAAUGCGAGGAAAGAGUCGCGAGAUCGAGAAGCUUUCGAAACUACUGCAGGCCGAGAACUCCCGGAAACGGCGAAAGACGGCUGCGAAAGACGACUCACCGGGAAAUAAAGAAGAUAAAAGAAGAAGCAGGACUUGGUCGGCGGAAAACGCCGAUGUCCGGCACCGUCAACGCGGUCCUUUCAUUCUCGUUAUAUGUGUUCUCAAGGACGACGCGCGCCUCAUGGGGUUCGCGUGGAACGAGAUGCGGAAGUUACAGGACAGCGAGAGAAACGGACCGAUCCGGUCGACGUCUCGCGGAGAGAAGAAAUUCCUCGCGGAGGAUCAUACCUUGUAUAUUCGCGAAGACGGCUGCGACAGAGCCAUAGCCGAGAUCGAGGUCGAGCGCCUUCGUGAGCUUGCGCUUGAGCAGCAAGAAGUUAUCGAGAUACUCAGGCAGACAGUCAAGGAAAAGGAACGAAAGCUCGAGCAACUGUCGAAUAAGAAAAGGAAAGAGGAAUUCUAUAGGCAAUGGUUGGAACUCGAGCCAGUGGCCGAAGUCGACGACGAGGAGGAUCAUGAGGAGGGUGACAGUGCCCUUUCCAGUGCACCAUCAUCCCUCUCUCCUCAGCCUGGUGGUUGUGGACAAUGGCAGGGAUCAGGUGUCACCAGAGAAGCUUACGAAGCUGUUCUUAUCGAAAUCGAGGAACUCCAAUCGAAACUGUUGGACGAACGUCAGGAAUUGUCUCGUGCAAAGACCGAAGUUCUUGAUCUUGAAAAAGCCCUUCUGCAGGAGACGAGAUGCAGCAAUCGCAACAAACAAUUGGAAGAAUUGAACGAGAAGUUGCGAGCGACCGAAGAACGAGAGGCUAAUCUCCUGGUGGAAUUGUCCGAGUUGAGAGAACAAAACGAACUUCUAGAAUUCAGACUUCUCGAACUGGAAGAGUCACCCGCUCGUAGAGAGAAUCCUGAUCACACGGCUGAUAGCGGUAUUGUCUCGCCGGAACUGUUACAUCCGAGCAAGGAUCAGGCAAACAAGCAAAGAAAUCGUGCAGUGGCUACAGUGAUCCCGUACACAAACAGCAAUAAUUACGCUACUACACGUUCGAUUUCGCCCGUACCACGAAAACCACCCCUGUCUCUUCAAGAAAGUGGUAUUUUCGAAGAAGAAGAUGAGGAGAGCUUAGAGAUCGAGCUAGCGAGUCGUGGAACACAAACGGAAAUACCUUCCGGUGAACUAUUGCAAGAGGUUCAACGUCUUCAGGAACUCCGUGCACGAAUUCAAGAACGUGCAGCUAAAGUAACGAACCCAACAAUCUGCUCGAUCGAUCCAACUACUAGAACCUGUCCACCGCUCGACACGGACGUUGAUUCGAUCGUUCAAUUGUCGUCCUAUCAGGAUCGCAUAAGAGAUUUGGAAGAGAGAUUGGAGGCUUACGAAGAGGCUGAAGAAAGGCAAAUCGAAGAAAGGCGAGUGACGAAGCAGAGGGAAGAAGAAUUGCUCGAUGAGAAUUACAGGCUAACGGAGAGGGUUUACUGGCUUGAGAAUAAAUUGCGUAACGUCGAGGAGCUCAUAGAGAAUAGGAGCAGAAGUAGAAGCAGCGAUAGGCUUCGUCUUGAUGAACAGAAGAAAAUCGAGAAUGAUGAACAAUGUGACUGUCAGAUUGUUGAAAAGAGGGAAACGAUAAUGGACAACACCUCCGUUGUACCAGAACAAAAAACAAAGGAAGAACUUAAUGAUGAAGAAAACGUAACGAUAGAAGUAAUGGAGGAAGUACUGAAUCGUUCGAAAGAAGUCCAAACGAUUGCUACUGGACCGAUCGAGGAUUGUCCUCAUUGCCGUGUUCAUCAGACGACUAAAAGAACCGAGCAAACAGAGCGAUGGAUUGCACCGGAAACACGGCGUAUUAUGGUCGAAGUUGUCCAAAAUUCUGCGGAAGUAGUCGAAGAGGUAGCAAAGGAGGCCAAAGAAGAAGAAAAUGGCGAUCUUCUCGACGAAAUGGAUGGCAAGGAGAAAAACGAGAACGACGGGGACCUAGGAAGAAGAAGAAGAAGAAGAAGGAUCUCGCAAGUUCCCGUGACGUUGGAGGAGAAUCAAAGGGAGAACGAGUCGAUCGAUUCGGUCGUUACCUUAAACGACGAAUUGGAGUCCGAAAAGAAGGUGAUCUACUUUCGUUGGAGGUGAAGGUCCUUUCGUCUCUUGUCGGUGUAGACACCAUUUGCACACGCGCCUAUACUCAACAUCAUUGCAAGUACCACGAUACGAUCGAUAAGCUUCACGUUGAUCUGAAUGCACUAGCAAGGACAAAAUGGCUGGCGUUGCUUGACAGCGGCCAAGCAUCGAUCAGAAUUUGUUCCUGAGGAAAGAACAGCGAAGUCAUCGUCAUCGUUGAGUACCAUCGAGAGCAAAUAGAAAAAAAAAAAAAAAAAGAGAGUAUCAUGCGCGCUUGUAAAUCGAAGCCGACAGGUUACAUACGAUAAAAAUAAAAAGAAGCCAAAAGAAAGAAAAUCAAAGGACCCCAUUGCAAGUGCCAAAAUUAAUAUAAUCGGUUUAUAUAUAAACGAGACCAAAUCAGAUUGCAUGAAUUUCGAUUUCGAAUUCAUCUACAUCUGAUAGAGAUAUAUUUUGAUGCUUUUUCUUUUUUAAUUUUUUUUCAUUCAGACGCGAUUGAAUAUCUUAUGGGAUUCAAACAAAACAGAUUGAAAAAAUACCAAAUAAGGAAAGUAUCGAAAAUGUCGAAUCUAUGGAAAGUCGAUCGAGAAAAAAAUGUAUUUGAUCGCCGUUCUUGUUCGAAUAUAAUUCGAAAUGGCGAUUUAAUCGAUAACGAAACUUUCAAAUAUAAAUUUCGUGAGUCGCAUUUUUUUUCUUAUAUCGGUUUGACUCGUUAAUAUAUUCCGAUAAAAACUAUUUUGAAUACUCAAAAAAAGUUCCGUCGAAGUAAUCGUGCUUUCCAAAUCGUGUUUGAUUUUGCGAGAAGUAAAAGAAAAAAAAAA